AAUUGGAGCAGCUCUGUGCUGAAAAGCAAUUGAUUUCAUCUGAUUUUGGAUGCUCAGCAGAGUCAGCCCAGAUUUGUACUUGGAUGGGAGACUGCCAGUAAAUACCAGGUGCUAUAGAGA
rnacentral:rRNA from 11 species